UUUCGAAUCUUUCACAAUGGGCGCAAGCCUGAUGGAGCAACGCCGCGUGGGGGAUGACGGCCUUCGGGUUGUAAACCCCUGUCACCAAGGAUAAACCGUAGUCGGUUAAUACCCGGCUGCCUGAUGUAACUUGGAGAGGAAGGAGUGGCUAACUCUGUGCCAGCAGCCGCGGUAAUACAGAGACUCCAAGCGUUAUUCGGAUUCACUGGGCGUAAAGGGUGCGCAGGCGGCCGAGUGUGUCGGAGGUGAAAUCUUGCAGCUUAACUGUAAAAUUGCCUUCGAAACUACUCGGCUAGAGUAUCGGAGAGGAUAGCGGAAUUCCAGGUGUAGCAGUGAAAUGCGUAGAUAUCUGGAGGAACACCAAUGGCGAAGGCAGCUAUCUGGACGAUUACUGACGCUCAGGCACGAAAGCAUGGGGAGCGAAAGGG
rnacentral:rRNA from 1 species